CAGUGAUCCAAGCUUUCUUUUUGAUAUAAAAAAGAAAACUCUGUUCUGCAGCUGUUGACAUAGUUGCGCAGGCACUUUGUUGACUCUAGAGAAUAUCGGGCCAAUCGCACAUCCCUGUGACGGCGACUUUGCAUUUGGAUGUCAUCCAUAUCAACUUUCGAUGCCAGUUUCUGCGCCUACCAUGGUGACCACGGGUAACUGGGAAUCAGGGUUCCAUUCCAUACAGGGACCCUGAGAAACUGCUACCACAUGCAAGGAAGGCAGCAGGCGCGCAAAUGACCCACUCCCAACGCGGGAAGGUAGUGA